AGUACCAAUUCCUAGUUAUACUGGUGUUUUUGACAGUUAACUUUUUUAGCUGAUCAUCGAAAUUUGGUAUUGAAUCAGUGUCAGAUUUAUCUGAAUCACUACUGCUGUUAUUAUCAGUUUCAGCUUGAUCAAUAGUGGCAAUUGUACCACUCGUACCAGGUUCAUUUUUUAGUUUUUUGAAUAACUUAUCAAUGGUUUUAACUAACUUAUCAUCCUCAGAUGGUAAGCCUAACUUAUAUCUAUUUUCUG
rnacentral:lncRNA from 1 species